UACGGAGGGUGCAAGCGUUAUCCGGAUUCACUGGGUUUAAAGGGUGCGUAGGCGGGCAGGGAAGUCCGUGGUGAAAUCUCUGAGCUUAACUCAGAAACUGCCAUGGAUACUAUUUGUCUUGAAUAUUGUGGAGGUAAGCGGAAUAUGUCAUGUAGCGGUGAAAUGCUUAGAUAUGACAUAGAACACCAAUUGCGAAGGCAGCUUACUACACAGUAAUUGACGCUGAGGCACGAAAGCGUGGGGAUCAAACAGG
rnacentral:rRNA from 1 species